rnacentral:lncRNA from 1 species
CCACGUAUAUAAACAUACACACUCACGUGUGUACUCAGACAGACCUGCCCUGGCUGUCUCCUGUCGAUCCUCAGGGCAUCUCCCAGGGAGCGGUGUUACCGACGUUAUUGCUCCAUUUCUCAGGUCGGGGAGUGAGGUUCAGAGGUUAAGUUGGUCACAGUGUCACUCGGCUAGUGGACACAGCAUUUGAACCACGGCACACCAGAGUCUGAAGCCCUUCCUCUGGCCGGAGCCCCCAGAUGGAGAGGAGCAAUGACACUGUGGAGCGCUGCGGUGUCCAUCUUCCCGCUCUGUUCCCCCAGCACUUCUCACUGUCUGAAGUUUGUCCAUGGUCCGUGUGUCCCUGUUCUCGACUGUGAGGUGUGCGAAGGAGGGACUCAUUGGCCUUCCUCACGGCUGUCUCUCUGGGCUCUGACAGGACCCUGGCGGUUAUUUAUUCUCAGUGAACGUCCAUGGAGCAUUUCAUCCCCACUACUGAUUUGUGGUUUGGUUAAGCGCGAUUCCAAAGCAGGGAAGCCGAGGCUCGAACCCACGUCCAUCUGACUCCUUAGCCACUGGGCUCUGCCCCUUGUCUCACCCAUUACCAGGGAGGCACCACCCCACCACUCAGGAGGAGGCUGUGCUGGUCCUAAAAGGCCACCCAGCCUCUGACUGUGAGAUUCCUGAACCCCACAGCUGGCCCUGACCCCUCCCUUCCUCUCACCCCCACAUCCAACUGACCCGCAAACCUUCAGCCCCGCGUUCAAAAUACACCCAGAAUCCAACCCCUGCUGUCUACCUCCGCUGCAGCUCCCGGUCCAGGCCGCCCCCACCCAUCCCCCAGAUGACUGCUCCAGCCCCAGCGAGGCCCUGCUCCACACUUGCCGCCUCAGACUGCUCCCCGCACAGCAGCCUGUUCAAACUCCCCUCCUCUGCUGAAAACUCUCCAACGGCUCCCAGCUCACGUGCAGUAAAAUCAAAGCCCUUACCAGGGGCUCCCUCUGUGGCCUCUUCUCCUUGUGUGAGCUCACUCCAACUGAGGGACAGUGGCCAAUGCGUUCCUACACACGUACAGACACGUGCACCCACACACCCUUUGUCCCUGCUUUCUUUUCCUCCUAUAUUUAUUAUCACACAACAGAUACUCUACACUUUCUCUCCAUCUAUGAGGGCAGGGCUGACAUGCUGCCUGACAUAGAGCGGGUACUCAGCAUUUGUGGAAGGAAAGAAGGAACCCGAGCUAAGGAAACAUUUCUUGGAUGAAGUGUAUGAAAAGAAGAAAAACCCCUCAGUGAGUUAGGAGUGGUUAUGAGGUGUCACGCUCCGAGGACUGAUGCCUCACUUACGCAGGGUUUUCUCCUGGAAUGUUAGGGAUCAGCGUUCGGGUUGAGGCCCAAGGCUGCUGGGCCGUGUUCCGGGCUGUGAAUCUCUCUUGGGUCACAUUGCUUCCCAUUCUCAUCAUGUGAGAAAGCACAGCCUCCCCACCAGGGGACUUUGAUGCUGAAUUCCUAGGGUAGAUGUGGGGCAGAAAGGCAGCCCCAGAAUGCAGUGCAGAAACCUUCGGAGAUAAAGCUCAGCCAGGGAAACACGUUGGAAAUGUCCAGGCACGUGGCACAUUAGUUGGUGUGGAGUAGACUCUGCUGUGGCCGCAGACAAACCCCGACUCUUGGUGGCUCAGUACAGAAACAGCUCACUGCUCGCUGACAUUACAGACACAUUUGGUGGCAGGUGAGGCACUUCUCCACACAGUCACUCAGGGACCCAGACUCUGCCAUCUUCGGGGCCUGGCUUCCAAGUUCCCU